GUGGGAUACUACCCUAGCUGUGUUGGCUUUCUAACCCGCACCACUUAUCGUGGUGGGAGACAGUGUCAGGCGGGCAGUUUGACUGGGGCGGUCGCCUCCUAAAAGGUAACGGAGGCGCUCCAAGGGUUUCUCAGAAUGGUUGGAAAUCAUUCAUAGAGUGUAAAGGCAUAAGGGAGCUUGACUGCGAGACCUACAAGUCGAGCAGGGUCGAAAGACGGACUUAGGGAUCCGGCGGGUCCGCAUGGAAGGGCCA
rnacentral:rRNA from 1 species